GACUCGCCGGUGACUCGGUCAACUCGGCCGAGUCAACUCGGUUGACUCGGUAAACCGGUUGGUUGACUGGUUUGACCGGUUUAAAUUAAUUUCGAUUCGGUUAAGGUAACUGGUCGGUUAUGUCAAAUCGAUUUCUGGUCAAGGGUUGACCGGAUUGACCUUUCACCAGCGGGUUGACUUUUCCGCAAACCUUGACCAGUUCCGUUUUUUACCGUUCGAAAGGCGUUCUGACUCAGAAUUUCGAUCUGAUUUCAGAUAUGGAGUCUAUUUGAGCAGCUGGAGUUCAUAGAUACCACUUUUCUAUUGCUAAGGUGAGGGUCUAUUCCCGAACUCCUCUUACACGGCUUAGGACCUCGAAUAAGUAUAAUUUAUUUCUAAUGUGUUCCGUCUGCUUGAAAUCGAGUAUGUCAUUGCUUGUUUAGUUAUUAGGUUCUUUGCAUAAACCGGAAUUAGGGGGCUAGAUGAUUCAAUAUUGACUGCUUCACUUAAAUGUAAAAUCUUAGCUAGAAUUGUUUGAGACGGAUACAGAGACGGACUUCUGUAUGCCGGAUUGUAUGAGAGGCUAUGGCCAGUCAGUCGACCGGCUGGACCGUAGUCUGGUGUGGUCGAUAAAGCGUCUGAGGGCGGUGACACCGAGCACUCUCUCGGAAGUGUUGUUUGGCCUGUUAGUGGGCGGCGAGUGUGCACCUCGUUAGGACCAUUGUUUGUUGCUUGGGUACUUUAGGUACCGUGUUUGACAUGCAUUAGAAUUAAUUUAUAUUUAUUCGGAGUGCUAUGUCCGGGUCCAUGGAUUUCGGGGUAGCAUCCCCCAUACCUCAUUGGGCGAUUCACCUAUCGCUCACCCCUCACUCUUCCCCUUUUCAGGUGAGACAAAUAAGUAUGUGAUAUUUGGACGGACUUGGUGCUACUGGACUUUUCUUUCGGAUUUUAUUUGGGCUUGGGUGAGCGUUAUUGGGUUUAUGGGCUUUUAUAUUAUGGGAUAUUGUUGGUGGCCCAUCGUCCUUAGUGAGAAGGAGACGGAUGUCACAUUGUUGUAUGAUGACGCGUCGGGGGUGACACGCUGUCCUCCAGAUAGGAGGUGACGGGUGUCGCAAUUUUGGUAUCAGAGCGGGGUUCCAUCCCGGUUCCGUCCGGGAUGGCGGUCAGGGGAUUCGGUUUUCAACGUUCUUUUUUGUUUAAAAAAAAAUAUAUUUAUUUAUAUAUUUCGAAAUUCUUUUAGCACCAUUUUGUCCAGUAAUUACUAACUCAAUGUCUCUUUCUAUGACGAUGUGUAAAAUCAUCGUCAUUCGUCCUUCGACUGUCAGAGUUCUCGCCAGAUAUUCAGCAGUUGGGUGAUGUCCAAGUUCGUCAGUUUUCUCAGGAGUUAUCAGUUUCUUCGGUCAUGAUUUCGAGGUUAUCCAGGAGUGGAUAUGUGACGUUUCUGCCACCAGCCCACUUCAAGCAAUCGUUCCACGAGUUUUGUUACUGGAGAUUAUGUGAUGUGAGGUAUGAGCCAUUGGUUGGCAUGUGUACGAGUAUAUUAUCUAUUUUGGAGGUAUAUUUGUCUUGUGAACUCGUGGAGAUCGCUUUUGAAUUGGGAUGCGGCAGCUUGCGUUGUGUGGAUGUUGGAGUGUUACACUUGGUAUGUUGCCAAUUGUGGUAGUGUUGAUCGUUCAGAGAUGUGCCGGUUCGGAUAGCUGACAUAUGACACUGGGAGCUAUUUAUAUUCAUGGUGUCGCACCAGUUAUGCUUGGUGGAGUCGAGUUAUCUGGAGCCCCUCAGAGAGAUGGAGCAGAGUUUUAUGAUGUUAUUGUUUUUUUUUUUUUGGGAUGGAUUGGUUGUCACGACAUCGAGUAGUGUUGGAUUGCCUGCACGAGUUUAUAUUGCUGGAGCAGAUGGAAUUUUUAUUGCAUGCAUGCUACAUACUGAGGAGUUAUGGAAUAUAAGAACAAAGAAAUUUUCGGCAACCAUUUCGAUGGUUAAGAAUUAUGGACAGCAUGAGCUGCAGGAUCUUCCGAUUAUUGCAGAGUAUGAGGUUAUAUUUGUGACCUUUGGAACGGUCACUACAAGACACAUGAGACGCUCUUGCGAAUUGUUUGGAGCAAACAUCAAUGGUUUCACGAGUUUCUUAUCAUCUAUCACGAGCAGGGAUGACCGAGUUGAGAAAGCAAUUGGAGGAACUCUUUGAUAAGGGAUUUAUCAGAUUGCUUACAUCACCAUGGAGAGCAUCAUUGUUGUUGUAAAGAAGAAAGGUGGGAGUUUCAGAUUUGUGUAUCGACUACAUAGACUUGAACAUGGUAACCAUCGUAUUGAUGAGUAGUUAUAUGAGAUUAAUGGAGGUUCAUCGUUCUCGAAGUUUGUCUUGGCAUCAGGAUACCAUCAGUUUGCUAUAGCUGAGGAGUAUGUAUGGAAUGCAGAUUUCCAUUAUGGAUAUUUUGAGCUCGUAGUGAUACCAUUUGGAUCGACAAAGGGCACCGUUACAUUCAUGAAGAUAUGAAUGACGUUUUCGUGAACAUUUGGAUAGGUGUGUGAUUGUAUUCAUCAACGACAUCCUGAUUUAUUUUGGAGUAUAGAGGAGAUUUGUGAGCAUUUAGCAGAUUGUGUUGGAUAAGCUUGAAGAGCAUCAGCUGUUCGCUAAGUUGAGGAAGUGUAGCUUCUGAUAGAGGAAUGUUAGAUUUUUGGGUAACAUGGUUUUGGAAGCAAAAUUUUGAUAGAUCCAAAGAAGAUUAAUACCGUUCCGGGAAGGUCGAAACUUAAGAGCACUACAGAGAUCUACCGUUCUUUUUGGGUUAACAGUGUACUACUAGAAGUUCAUCAAGGGUUUCAACGUUAUAGUAAUGUUGAAGAUACAGUCUACAUGUAAAGACGUUAAGUGUGGUUGGAUAGAUUUUUGUUUGAGGAGUUCACUGAAUAGAAGCACAACUAAUGAAGACACCAAUUUUGGUUCUGCAGAGGCUGAGGCUUACUCUGAUGUGUCAGAUACUGGCUUGGAUUUAAAUUGAGGUAAGAAGAUUAAGUCAUUCAUAUGCAUCACGCCAGAGAGGUUGUAGUGGUAAUUACGUUAUAGUUUUGGAGAUCGUAAUUGUACGAGAAGGAAGUCCAGAUUCUAUGGGAUCAUUAGAGUCUGACAUUUAUCUACACAUUAAAAAUUGCAAUUUGGCAGUGCAGUCGGAAUGAGUUUGUAGCAGGCUACAGUUUGGAUAUCGCAUGCCAUCUGGUAAGGACAACCAGGUGACAAAUGUCUUGGGUAGGCAUAUGAGCGACGUAUUUGGAACAAAGGAAGGUCAGGAGUUUACUGGGACAGUUGCUAGUCUCAAAUUGUGUGUCGUAUUGUCAAGGGAAAGACAUAUUGCCUUGAGGAUUGGAGCAUGCAGUUUUGCUAUGGAGGAUACACCAUGCGCAGGUUAGCGUUAUGGUUUUCGUUGAAUAGAUCGAGAUUGAGAAUAUUGGAGAUCAUACAGCUUUGAGCAGGACGUACCUAUAUCGAAACCGAGUUUGUGUGUUGGACGAUAAGCUGUUAAGAAAAGGGAUCUUACAGCAAACACAUCACUUAUGUUACUCUACCCAUCGGAAAUAUUAAGGAGUUCAAAGAUAUUAAGCGUUACUAUCAUUGACCUAUUAUGAAAAGAUUGUAGCCACAUUGCGUCGCAAGGAUAUAUAAGUCAGAUAGUUUUCCAUGAGGAUUAUAUACGGUUCAGGUUAUUGUUGAGCAUGCUUUUGACAGAGUGGAAUGAGACAUGGUGAUUAUGAAUAUCGUUACUGGAUUUUUAAAUCACCGUAUGUGGAAAGGAUGCCAUAUGGGUAGUCAUGGAUAGACUUACCGAGUCAAUCCAUCUCCUAAAUAAUUUAGAAGGCAGAGAGAGCUGAUCAGUUGGUGCAGAUUUUCAUCAACAUGAUUUUGAGGUUGCAUGAAGCUCUUGUCAACAUUGUAUCGGAUUGGGAUUCAAAGUUCACCUCUACAUUUUGGAUUCAUUCAGAAGGCGUUUGGGACAAGCGUUCACAGGAAUACAACUUAUUAUCAACAUACAAAUGGUCAGAGGACUACUCAGAACUUAAAGGAUAUAUUCAGGGAUUGCGUCUUCCAAUGGGAUGGAAGUUCAGAAAGCAUCGACCUCUAAUAGAGUUUACCUAUAUCGACAAUUAUCAUUCAAGCAUUGAGAUGGACAGUACGAGGCUGCUUAUGGUAGGCUUUAUCGUAUACCACUUUGUUGGACCAAAGUGGGGGAGCGACAUGAGUUAAAAUUAUUAAUGGUUCAAGAGAUGGAAGAGCAAAUGGACAUGCUCAAAGAUUGGCUUUGGGAAACCAAUAGCCGUCAGAAGAUUUAUGCAGCUAAGCGCCAUAAGGAUUUGGAGUUACAUAUGAGUUAUCUAGUACACAUGAAAAUAAGGACAUUUCAAGAGGGACCUAAAACUCAGAAGCUAAAGGAACCAAGGUACAUGGGAUUGUAUCCUUCGAAGGAGCGGAUUAGAGCAGUUGCUUGCAGCUGUUUUAUUAGCAGUGUAUCAGAUUUUUACAACGUGGUUCAUGUGUCAGCAUUGAGAAAAGUUGAAAGAAGACCAGAAUUAUUUUGCAGCAAACGCCAAAUCACCGCAAGAAGAUUGUACUCGCCUUGUCAGCUAGUGUAGAAUUCAGAUCAUCAAGCGAAAGCAGUUUAGAGAAAAUCGACUGUGUUUGUCAGAGUAUGUUGAGAGUGAGAUGAGACCUGAAAAACCGAGCAUAUUGAUUAUUCAAGUUCGUUUCAAUGAUGUUGGGGAAUUAACGGACGACUCGAAUUCGGGGACGAAUUCUUUGUAGUGGGGGAGAAUUGUAACGACCCGAUCCCGGUUUUGGAGUUUGUUAGCCAGCUAAGUCAUAUGCAUUUCCCUGUAAGAUAAUUAUUUGCCUAUAAAUACCCAUCUUCGCAUUGAUUUCUCCUUUUGGCAACAAAAAAAAAAUAAAAAUCAGAAGUUAGAGAGAAGAAGAAAUGAGAGAGAGAGAGAGAGAGAGACUGAGAGAAAGAAAGAUAAAAACCAAUGCAUUUUGCCACCAGAGAUCGCCGGAGCCACCACACGCCAGGACAUCGUCAAGCUCGUCAUCACCGUCAACCGCAGCUUAGAAUCGCCGGAAACCGCCGCCUUUUAAGCUUUGUUUUCGUCCGUUCAGUAAAUCAGCUAUAUCUCCAUAACCGUUGAGAAUCUCUCGCAUGCAAGACCAUCAUCGUGUUCCUCUCGUCGAGACGAAGCCGUAGACACCGACCACGCCGCAAUCGGAGUUCAGACGAAGCCGUACGCGCCUCCAAAAGUUACGCCGACUGCGCGCGUUUUGUCCACGCGCCGCCGCCGGAUAACGCCUCCGCCGUCGUCCGCCACCGUCCUCCGCCGCAUCUCCGCCGCUGCCAGAAGUCGCCUCCGCCGCAGCUCCGCCGCCGCCGGGAAUCGCCUCCGCCGUUGCCGCCGGCGAAUUUUCCGAUAUGGAGUCUAUUUGAGCAGCUGGAGUUCAUAGAUACCACUUUUCUAUUGCUAAGGUGAGACAAAUAAGUAUGUGAUAUUUGGACGGACUUGGUGCUACUGGACUUUUCUUUCGGAUUUUAUUUGGGCUUGGGUGAGCGUUAUUGGGUUUAUGGGCUUUUAUAUUAUGGGAUAUUGUUGGUGGCCCAUCGUCCUUAGUGAGAAGGAGACGGAUGUCACAUUGUUGUAUGAUGACGCGUCGGGGGUGACACGCUGUCCUCCAGAUAGGAGGUGACGGGUGUCGCAGUUCAAGUCUUUAUAACAUGAGCCGGUGUGGAAGAAGGAAAGGCCUCCAAGCUUAAAAGGAGACAACGAGCUUAGAGCGCACAGGAUUUACCCGUUUGGCCUCACGCAGAGACAAGCUUUGUACAACUUUACGCAGUAAUGAAGACGAAUCCAUCAGAUUACUAAAAGCAAAGCUGAAAUUCCGUGUUGAAGAAGAAACAAAAGGAAAUUUAUGAGAAACGACCACGUUGGGAGUGAUCUGUACGUUGUUUAUAAAUCACCAAAGCCCACAUCGGAAGAAACAAAAUUUUCCUUGCUGUAUAUAUAAGCUUAGCUCACACUAAGAGUACGUCGAGCUUAGUAACGUGGGCUUGUGAUCCUAGUGGAGACAAUAAGUUGAUGGAACUUUGGACCAGUUUCUAUGAAGCGUACCGGUCUCUUGACCCGGGUGUGUGCGGGGUUAUAUAUACUGAGCUCUUGCCCUCUUCUAAUACGAGUGUGCAUGCCAGUGUCUUCUUCGCGUACAACUUCAAUCUAGCUGGUUUCAUUGGACCAUCAUCUUUUAAAAAUGCUUUUGUAUCACCUGCAUGGUUCCGUAAUAUUCAAGAUACAUGUUCUAAGGGGUGGGCAACAAAACCAAACCGACCCAACCGAACUCAAACCUAUCCAAACCAAAGUAUACGUCUAAACCAUUUGGUUCAAAAUUUUAUCAACCCAAAUGGUUCAGUUUGGUUUGGUUUUAAACCGAACCAAAUAAAAAAACCGAAGUAUUUUUUAAUUAGAUUGAAUAUAUUAAUAAUAUUAAAAUUUAAUAUAUUUAACCAUUAACGUAAACAAGUAAACAUAAUUUUAUACAUUUUAUUUUUAAAUAAAUAGAAUAAAUACAACUAAAAAUAUGAAUCUUAUACAUUAACAUCAAAACCAAAAAUUACCUAUGAUAUUUAUACUAAGUUUGAAGAUAAUAAUAUAAUAUUAUUGAAUUAUAUAUUAUAUAUCUUAAUGUAAUGUCUGACUUUACAUUUAAAUAUGAAGAAAAUAUUGAUUUAGUGUCCAAAUAUGAUUUGUUUAUAUUCCUAUAAAUUAUAUUUUUGUAACUGAUCGCGAAAAAAACUAAAAAAUCAACCCGAUCGAAUAAACAAACACAAACAAAAUCAUAUUAAACCAAACCGAACUAAAACCAAACCUUACACAAACCAAUUUCUUUUUGUAGCUUGUUGCAAAGUCGUAAGUUCAAGAAACGACCUUGCAAGUGCAUCAGGGAGGAUCAGACACAGUUUAUCAUGUUUUUGUAAAAUAAAGAGGCCGGUUUGAGAUAUGUUGGAUGUGAUUCAAUAUUGAGAAUCUUUUGGAAGUGGACUGAAGAAUGCUCUUGACAAGAAGAAGUCAAGAGACUACUAGCUAAAGUGGUGGAAACAUUCUGGGUGGAAAAGAAGGUUUCAAAAGAAAGGAGGUGUGAGGAGAGUCAGGUAAAACGACGUCACCGGCUUGGACUUCGUCUCACUCGUUAACAAAACCAGAAGAGAGAGAACGAGGGAUCAAUCAAGCUGGUAUAUAUUCUGGGUAGCCCGAUCCCAAAUUGGCUGCGCCAUUGUCUUCUUUCGCAUGAAGAAGAGGGAUCAAUCAAGCUGGUUUCAACUGGACCAUCAUCUUUUAAAAUUGAUUUUGUUAUGUUACCUGGGGGUGUCAAUUCGGGCUGGUCCGGUCAGGUCUAAACCCGCUAAGCCCGUAAAUAUUUGAGUCCAGUCCGGUCCGGAAAUAUUUUAGACCUAGAAUUCGAAGUUCAGCCCAGUAUUUAUAGGACUCUAAGGCUUUUUGGGUUUUUUUGGAUUUUUUCUAAAAAUAAUUUGUCAUUAUCAUUUCUAUCGUUUUAAUACAUGUAAAUUUUUCAUUAAAAAAGACAUUUUAAAAUUUGUUUAUUUAAAAUAUAAAGUGAAUUUAAACUUUUAUUCUUUGUCAAAAAUAUUUUACUUUUUGUAUGCUUUAAAAACAUAUUAUAUAUAGAACAAGACUUGGAUGAACCUUUAAAUUCACAUGUCCACUUAUUACCAAUCAAAACGCCACCUAAAUUAAUAAUAAAAUAGAUUAAUUUUAUUUAAAAAUAUCUAAAAUAAUUGAAAAAAAUAAUAACGCCAAUUUUAAUGAUGCUAACGCCACUAACUAAACUCUAAACCCUAAACCCAAAUUCUAAACCCUAAACUCUAAACCCAAACUGUAAACCCUAAACUCAAACCCUAUAUCCUAAACUCAAAUCCUAAACCCUAAACCCAAACCUUAAACCCUAAACUCAAACUCUAUAUCCUAAAGCCAGAUCAUAGACUCUAAACUUAAAUCAUAUAUCCAAACCUAAUCCCUACACCCUAAACUCAAAUCGUAAACCCUGAACCCAAAUCUUAUAUCCUAAAAAUUUGGGUUAAUGUUGACGUUUUUUCUUUAGGGUUUAAGAUUUGAGUUUAGAGUCGAGGUUUGGAUUUAGAAUCUAGGGUUUGAGUUUAAGGUCUAGGGUUUGGGUUUAGAGUUUACGGUUUGGGUUUAGAGUUUAGGAUUUAGGUUUAAGAUAUAGGGUUUGGGUUUAGGGUUUAAAGUUUGGGUUUAGAAUUUAAGGUUUAGGGUUUAGAUUUAAAGUUUAUAGUUUAGAAUUUAAGAUUUAGGGUUUAGUUAGUGGCGUUAGCGUUAUUAAAAUGAGUGUCAUUAUAUUUUUCAAUUAUUUUAGAGUUGAAAAAAAAAUAAUGUAUUUUAUUACUAAUCUAUAUGGCAUUUUGAUUGGUAAUAAACAGGGGAAUAGAAGUGCACUAUUUUUUCAUAUAGAUCAGAUACUGUCAGAUGGAAAUGUUCCUUAGAGAAACGUCUUUUCUGAUCAGAACUUAGUCUAGUAAUAUGGUUAACUGACAAAAAAAUACAAACUACAUUAUUCCUUAAUAUCAACAAAUCUUUCGAUCAGCAUGGUCCUUUUCGAUGAUUCUUGGGAUUAUGUUAAGGCCGCCCUAAUAUAUAUUUAUUUUCUCUGCCGCUUCGCUGUUUCAUUUGACGAUAUAUAUAUAUGGUAGAGCCGAGGUCUUUCAUAUGGCUAGGUGUCUCUAGCUAGGUCUUAAUAUAAAUUUUAACAUCUCUCUUCUUCGACCAGCCAAUUAAACGAUCAUGAUAUCAGAUUAUAUUCCUAUUGAGCUCAGCCGCGUCUCUUAUUCGCCAUCGAAGAGCACGGUAUGUGGAGCAUAUUCUCUUUGCCUCAGCAUCUGAGUCCAUAGAGAAGCCUUCAUCGUCUCAAGUAGUAACCCCCAAAUUUCAUAUGAAGUUCCCUCCAGAGGGUAUGCCUAUCUAUCAUCUUGAUGACCGCCAAUUUGCAUAUGGCUAUGCCUCUGGUUUGAUCUAUUUCUAUGGUAUGUGGACCAAAAUGAUGGCUGAAGAUGGAGUUCCUGUGAUACGUAACCCAAAAACGGGACGGUAUGAGACCUUACCUUAUAUCUAUAGGUACAGAACAACCUAACUCUAAAAAGGUGUUAGCUAUGGUACUUUCAUCCCAUAUCGUCCAAGUAAUUUAUAUGCCAGUUCCACAAGAUGUGCUACGGGCAUCAUCACAACAGCAGGUAUCUUUAUACUUGGCCUGCAAAAUUAUAAUUAGUAUUUAUCUGAGACGAGGUAAAAAAAGGUUACCAAUAGUAUACUUCCAAAUGUGUUUUUAUAUGUACUUGUUAAUCUCUUUGGUAAGAGUUUUUUUUUAUAAUCUACCAAAAUAAAUUUCGGAGAAAACAAAGAUUCAAAUUAAGAAACCAACUUCUAUUAAGUUAUCAAUAUGCAUAAAAAAUAUAUGAACUGAGUUUUCAUGGGGAACAAAUGAAAUAUCUAACUAUGACUAACCAGGGGAAUAACAUUUUUGUAGCUUGUUUUAAAGAAAACGUACCUCUCAUAGCCAACUCCUUCUAGAAGCAGUGACAUAAACUCCCAAAACUUAAUUGGCUCCAUGAUGGUAAUGAAGUAUGCCUCCAAAGCCAUGUCAUCUCAAUUAAGUUACAUCAUAGCCGAGUCCUUUUUGUAGCUUUGUUGCAAAGUCCUAAGUUCUAGAAACGACCUUGCAAGUGCACCAGGGGAGGAUCAGACACAGGUUAUCAUGUUUUUGUAAGAGAAAGUUGCCGGUUUGGGAUGUGUUGGAUGUGAUUCAACAUUUAGAAUCUUUGUAAGUGGACUGAAGCAUGCAUUUGACAAGAAGAAGUCGCGAAACUACUAGCAAGUGGUGGAAACAUUCCGGCUGGGAAAGAAGGUUUGAAAGAAAGGAGGUUUAAUAUACUCAGAUGAGUCACGUGAGGACUGAGGAGAGUUAAGUAAAACGACGUCACCGGCUUGGACUUCGUCUCUCUCGUUACCAAAACCAGAAGAGAUGUACUCAUUAGUUAACACGGCUAAAACUGGGUUAUAUCGUGUGUGUUCUUUGGUUCAAGCUCAAGAAGAGGUUCUUGAAGACUAUCAAUGGCGAUCAAAAGGGACUUUGAUUCUCAGCAAGAUGGAAUCAAUCUUUAUGUUUACUUAACUGCUCACUUACUUAAUCAAACAACAUGAUAUAUGGAACCGUUCUUGUCCAAUCCCAGGGGUAAACAUCUGACUCUAUAAGCUCUUGAGUCUGUGGUUCUGGCCAAGUUCAAGUCUUUAUAACAUGAGCCGGUGUGGAAGAAGGAAAGGCCUCCAAGCUUAAAAGGAGACAACGAGCUUAGAGCGCACAGGAUUUACCCGUUUGGCCUCACGCAGAGACAAGCUUUGUACAAGUACUCACAUUCAACACAACCCUUGUGCUAAAUUCGAGUUUGUCUUCGUGUAGUUUCAUUCCUAAACGCAUAACUGACGGAAACUGUACGCAGCUUUACGCAGUAAGUGAAGACGAAUCCAUCAGGUUACUAAAAAGCAAAGCUGAAAUUCCGUGUUGAAGAAGAAACAAAUGGAAAUUUAUGAGAAACGACGUCGUUGGGAGUGAUAUGUUGUUUAUAAAUCACCAAAGCCCACAUCGGAAGAAACAAAAUUUUCCUUGCUGUAUAUAUAAGUUUAGCUCACACUAAGAGUACGUCGAGCUUAGUAACGUGGGCUUGUGAUCCUAGUGGAGACAAUAAGUUGAUGGAACUUUGGACCAGUUUCUAUGAAGCGAUCCGGUCUUUUGACCCGGGUGUGUGCGGGGUUAUAUAUACUUAGCUCUUGCCCUCUUCUAAUACGAGUGUGCAUGUCAGUGUCUUCUUCGCGUACAACUUCAAUCUAGCUGGUUUCAUUGGACCAUCAUCUUUUAAAAAUGCUUUUGUAUCACCUGCAUGGUUCCGUAAUAUUCAAGAUACAUGUUCUAAGGGGUGGGCAACAAAACCAACCCGACCCAACCGAACUCAAACCUACCCAAACCAAAGUAUACGUCUAAACCAUUUGGUUCAAGAUUUUAUCAAUCCAAAUGGUUCAGUUUGGUUUGGUUUUAAACCGAACCAGUAUUUUUUAAUUAUUAUAAAUAUAUUAAUAAUAUUAAAAUUAAAAUAUUUAACCAUUAACCUAAACAAGUAAACAUAAUUUUACAUUUUAUUUUUAAAUAAAUACAACUAAAAAUAUGAAUCUUAUACAUUAACAUCAAAACCAAAAAUUACCUAUAAUAUUUAUAUUAAUUUUGAAGAUAGUAAUAUAAUAUUAUUGAAUUAUAUAUUAUAUAUUUAAUGUAAUGUUUGACUUUACAUUUAAAUAUGAAGAAAAUAUUGAUUUAGUGUCCAAAUAUGAUUUGUUUAUAUUCCUAUAAAUUAUAUUUUUGAAACUGAUCGCGAAAAAAAACUAAAAAAUCAACCCGAUCGAAUAAACAAACACAAACAAAAUCAUAUUAAACCAAACCGAACUAAAACCAAACCUAACAACACAGACCACUUUCUUUUUGUAGCUUGUUGCAAAGUCCUAAGUUCAAGAAACGACCUUGCAAGUGCAUCAGGGAGGAGACACAGUUUAUCAUGUUUUUGUAAAAUAAAGAGGCCGGUUUGAGAUAUGUUGGAUGUGAUUCAAUAUUGAGAAUCUUUUGGAAGUGGACUGACGAAGUCACGAGACUACUAGCUAAAGUGGUGGAAACAUUCUUGGUGGAAAAGAGGGUUUCAAAAGAAAGGAGGUGUGAGGAGAGUCAGGUAAAACGACGUCACCGGCUUGGACUUCGUCUCACUCGUUAACAAAACCAGAAGAGAGAGAACGAGAGCCGUCUAUGUCGAUGAGUUCUUGAGCAAUUAAAAAACAGAGAUUGAGAGGUUAGAGAGUAUAGAAGAUGUUCUUCUAAACCGAUUGAGCUGUAAUCGGUGGUGAGCGAAAGUCUUUGUACAACCACUCCCAAGGUGAUUUCCGUUUAUCUAUGGAACGUACUAACCGGAUGCACCCAUUAGUUAACACGGCCAACUGGGUUAUAUUAUAUCGUGUGUGUUAUUUGAUUCAAGCUCAAGAAGAGAGGUUCUUGAAAACUAUCAGUGGCGAUCAAAAGGGACUUUAAAAGGAGACAAGGAGCUUAGAGUACACAGGAUUUACCCGCUUGACCUCACGUAGAGACAAGCUUUGUACAAGUUCAAAUUUGAGGGAAACUCGAGUCUAAGUACUCACAUUCAACACAAUCGGUGUGCUAAAUUCGAGGUUGUCUUCGUGUAGUUUCAUUUCAAACGCAUCUGACAGAAAUUACAAAGCAGGCAGUAAUGAGAACGAAUUCAUCAGGUAAUCAAAGCAAAAUAAAAAAAUUGCGUACUGGAGAAGAAACAAAAUAUAUUUUAGGAGAAAGGACGCCGUCGAGAGAGUGAUAAUGUGAGAAAUGUUUUUAGCCACCAAAGCCCACAUCAGUAGAAAGAAAGAAAAAUUCCUUGUUGUAUAUAUAAGUUUUGCUCACAAGCCGACCUGGGCUUGUGAUCCGAAUGGAGACAAUAAGUUGUACCAAUUUAUUUGGACCCCAUAGUAUGUGAGGUUAUAUAUUCUGGGUAGCCCGAUCCCAAAUUGGCUGCGCCAUUGUCUUCUUUCUCAUGAAGAAGAGGGAUCAAUCAAGCUGGUUUCAACUGGACCAUCAUCUUUUAAAAUUGAUUUUGUUAUGUUACCUGGGGGUGUCAAUUCGGGCUGGUCCGGUCAGGUCUAAACCCAAUAAGCCCGUAAAUAUUUGAGUCCAGUCCAGUCCGGUCUGGAAAUAUUUUAGACCUAGAAUUCGAAGUUCAGCCUGGUCUUUAUAGGACUCUAAGGCUUUUUGGGCUUUUUUGGGUUUUUCUAAAAAUAAUUUGUCAUUAUCAUUUAUAUCGUUUUAAUACAUGUAAAUUUUCAUUAAAAAAAGACAUUUUAAAAUUUGUUUAUUUUAAAGUAUAAAAUGAGUUUAAACUUUUCUUCUUUGUCAAAAAUAUUUUACUUUUUGUAUGCUUUAAAAAUAUAUUAUAAAUAGAACAAGACUUAGGUUUACCCCUAGGGUGAAUCUUUAAACUCACAUGUCCACUUAUUACCAAUUAAAAUGCCACCUAGAUUAAUAAUAAAAUAGAUUCAUUUUAUUUAAAAAAAUCUGAAAUAAUUGAAAAAAAUAAUAACACCAAUUUUAAUGAUGCUAACGCCACUAACAAAACUCUAAACUUUAAAUCUAUACCCUAAACCCUAAACCCAAAUCCUAAACCCUAAACUUUAAACCCAAAAUGUAAACCCGAAACCCAAACCCUAUAUCCUAAACCCAAAUCCUAAACCCUAAACCCAAACCUUAAACCCUAAACUCAAACCCUAUAACCUAAACCCAGAUCAUAGACUCUAAACUCAAACUAUAUAUCCAAACCUAGUCCCUACACCAUAAACUUAAAUCGUAAACCCUGAACCUAAAUUCUAUAUCCUAAAGAUUUGAGUUAAUGUUGAUGUUUUUUAUUUAGGGUUUAAGAUUUGGGUUUAGAAUCGAGGUUUGGAUUUAAAAUAUAGGGUUUGAGCUUAAGGUCUAGGGUUUGGGUUUAGAGUUUAUGGUUUGGGUUUAAGAUAUAGGGUUUGGCUUUAGGGUUUAGAGUUUGGGUUUAGAAUUUAGGGUUUAUGGUUUAGAUUUAAGGUUUAUAAUUUAGAAUUUAAGAUUUAAGGUUUAGUUAGUGGCGUUAGCGUUAUUAAAAUGAGCGUUAUUUUUUUUUUUACUUAUUUUAGGGAUUUUAAAAAAAAAAUGUAUUUUAUUAUUAAUCUAUGUGACAUUUUGAUUGGUAAUAAAAAGAGGAAUAGAAGUGUACUAUUUUUUUCAUAUAGAUCAGAUACUGUCAGAUGGAAAUGUUCCUUAGAGAAACGUCUUUUCUAAUGAGAACUUAGUCUAGUAAUAUGGCUAACUGACAAAAAAAUACAAACUACAUUAUUCCUUAAUAUCAACAACUCUUUCGAUCAGCAUGGUUCUUUUCGAUGAUUGUUGGGAUUAUGUUAAGGCCGCCCUAAUAUAUAUUUAUUUUCUCUGCCGCUUUGCUGUUUCAUUUCACGAUAUAUAUAUGGUAGAGGUCUUUCAUGUAAGCUCAGGGAUCUGGAGCUUGAUAUGCUGGUGCAUUGACACGAGAGAGUGUUGAUUGACAUGGUUCUUUGGAGUAUGGCUCGGACAUAUUCAAAGAAUGUUGAAGUUUGGCGUGUUGCUAUUGUGUUACACAUGGAGCCAUACUCCAAAGAACCAUGUCAAUCAACACUCUCUCGUGUCAAUGCACCAGCAUAUCAAGCUCCAGAUCCCUGAGCUUACAUUUCAUAUGGAUAGGUGUCUCUAGGUCUUAAUAUAAAUUUUAACAUCUCUCUUCUUCGACCAGCCAACUAAACGAUCAAGAUAUCAGAUUCUAUUCCUAUUGAGCUCAGCCGCGUCUCUUAUUCGCCAUCGAAGAGCACGGUAUGUGGAGCAUAUUCUCUUUGCCUCAGCAUCUGAGUCCAUACGAGAAGCCUUCAUCGUCUCUAGUAGUAACCCCCAAAUUUCAUAUGAAGUUCCCUCCAGAGGGUAUGCCUAUCUAUCAUCUUGAUGACCGACAAUUUGCAUAUGGCUAUGCCUCUGGUUUGAUCUAUUUCUAUGGUAUGUGGACCAAAAUGAAGGCUGAAGAUGGAGUUCCCGUGAUAUGUAGCCCAAAAACGGGACGGUAUGAGACCUUACCUUAUAUCUAUAGGUACAGAACAACCUAACUCUAAAAAGGUGUUAGCUAUGGUACUUUCAUCCCAUAUCGUCCAAGUAAUUUAUAUGCCAGUUCCACAAGAUGUGCUACGGGCAUCAUCACAACAGCAGGUAUAUUUAUACUUGGCCUGCAAAAUUAUAAUAUAGUAUUUAUCUGAGACGAGGUAAAAAGAGGUUACCAAUAGAAAGAAACAUCAAUUCCAAAUGUGUUUUUAUAUGUACUUGUUAAUCUCUUUGGUAAGAGUUUGUUUUUAUAAUCUAGCAAAAUAAAUUUCGGAGAAAACAAAGAUUCAAAUUAAGAAACCAACUUCUAUUAAGUUAUCAAUAUGCAUAAAAAUAUAUGAACUGAGUUUUCAUGGGGAACAAAUGAAAUAUCUAACUAUGACUAACCAGGGGAAGAACAUUUUUGUAGCUUGUUUUAAAGAAAACGUACCUCUCAUAGCCAAGUCCUACUAGAAGCAGUGACAUAAACUCCAAAAACUUAAUUGGCUCCAUGAUGGUAAUGAAGUAUGCCUCCAAAGCAAUCUCAUCUCAAUUAAGUUACAUCAUAGCCGAGUCCUUUUUGUAGCUUGUUGCAAAGUCCUAAGUUCUAGAAACGACCUUGCAAGUGCACCAGGGGAGGAUCAGACACAGUUUAUCAUGUUUUUGUAAGAGAAAGUUGCCGGUUUGGGAUGUGUUGGAUGUGAUUCAACAUUUAGAAUCUUUGUAAGUGGACUGAAGCAUGCAUUUGACAAGAAGAAGUCGCGAAACUACUAGCAAGUGGUGGAAACAUUCCGGCUGGGAAAGAAGGUUUGAAAGAAAGGAGGUUUAAUAUACUCAGAUGAGUCACGUGAGGAGAGUUAAGUAAAACGACGUCACCGGCUUGGACUUCGUCUCUCUCGUUACCAAAACCAGAAGAGAUGUACUCAUUAGUUAACACGGCUAAAACUGGGUUAUAUCGUGUGUGUUCUUUGGUUCAAGCUCAAGAAGAGGUUCUUGAAGACUAUCAAUGGCGAUCAAAAGGGACUUUGAUUCUCAGCAAGAUGGAAUCAAUCUUUAUGUUUACUUAACUGCUCACUUACUUAAUCAAACAACAUGAUAUAUGGAACCGUUCUUGUCCAAUCCCAGGGGUAAACAUCUGACUCUAUAAGCUCUUGAGUCUGUGGUUCUGGCCAAGUUCAAGUCUUUAUAACAUGAGCCGGUGUGGAAGAAGGAAAGGCCUCCAAGCUUAAAAGGAGACAACGAGCUUAGAGCGCACAGGAUUUACCCGUUUGGCCUCACGCAGAGACAAGCUUUGUACAAGUACUCACAUUCAACACAACCCUUGUGCUGAAUUCGAGUUUGUCCUCGUGUAGUUUCAUUCCUAAACGCAUAACUGACAGAAACUGUACGCAGCUUUACGCAGUAAGUGAAGACGAAUCCAUCAGGUUACUAAAAAGCAAAGCUGAAAUUCCGUGUUGAAGAAGAAACAAAAGGAAAUUUAUGAGAAACGACGUCGUUGGGAGUGAUAUGUUGUUUAUAAAUCACCAAAGCCCACAUCGGAAGAAACAGAAUUUUCCUUGCUGUAUAUAUAAGUUUAGCUCACACUAAGAGUACGUCGAGCUUAGUAACGUGGGCUUGUGAUCCUAGUGGAGACAAUAAGUUGAUGGAACUUUGGACCAGUUUCUAUGAAGCGAUCCGGUCUCUUGACCCGGGUGUGUGCGGGGUUAUAUAUACUGAGCUCUUGCCCUCUUCUAAUACGAGUGUGCAUGCCAGUGUCUUCUUCGCGAACAACUUCAAUUUAGCUGGUUUCAUUGGACCAUCAUCUUUUU